rnacentral:rRNA from 1 species
CUCUUGUCUUUUUUCGAGGUUCCAGUUGGAGUUAGGAAAAGGCUGGACUUCUAUCGAUCCCGAUUCUUUUGGCAGAGUGAUGAACUAAAAAGAAAAUACAGACUUGCCAAAUGGGAUAUUAUUUGUCGACCAAAAUACCAAAGGGGUCUUGGCAUUGAAAAUCUUGAAGUCAAGAACAGAUGUCUUCUCGGCAAGUGGCUGUAUAAGCUAUCUGUAGAGACUGAGGCCACAUGGGCGCAGAUUCUCCGUAGUAAGUAUCUUCAUUCCAAAACUUUGUCCCAGGUGACAGCGAAGCCGAUGGACUCGACUUUUUGG